GCUGGUAUAGCUCAGUUGGUAAAGUGCUUGCCUUACAUGCAUAAGGUCCUGGGUUCUACCCCCAGUGCCACA
rfam:Ictidomys tridecemlineatus contig103340, whole genome shotgun sequence.